GCUACAAUAUAAAUAUAGCCGUAGAAAGCGAGUGGCCCAAAGCCUUAAUCUCUCGCCGAGGUCGAAAAACUCUUUAAAGGAGUUUGACUACGUGUACGGCCCUUAUCGGGGCUUUUUUUAAUUUAAA
rfam:Parcubacteria bacterium RAAC4_OD1_1 O210_OD1C00001, whole genome shotgun sequence.